rnacentral:rRNA from 1 species
GCAUAUCAAUAAGCGGAGGAAAAGAAACUAACAAGGAUUCCCCUAGUAACUGCGAGUGAAGCGGGAAAAGCUCAAAUUUGAAAUCGGGUAGUCUUUGGCUGCUUGAGUUGUAAUCUAGAGAAGCAUUAUCCGUGCUGGACCAUGUAUAAGUCUCCUGGAAUGGGGCGUCAUAGAGGGUGAGAAUCCCGUCUUUGACAUGGACUACCAGUGCAUUGUGAUGUGCUCUCAAAGAGUCGAGUUGUUUGGGAAUGCAGCUCUAAAUGGGUGGUAAAUUCCAUCUAAAGCUAAAUAUUGGCGAGAGACCGAUAGCGAACAAGUACCGUGAGGGAAAGAUGAAAAGAACUUUGGAAAGAGAGUUAAACAGUACGUGAAAUUGUUGAAAGGGAAACGCUUGAAGUCAGUCACAUUGGUCGGUGAUCAACCUUGCUUUUUGCUUGGUGUAUUUUCUGAUCAAUGGGUCAGCAUCAAUUUUGACCGGUGGAAAAAGGCUGAGGGAAUGUGGCAUCAUCUGAUGUGUUAUAACCCUCUGUCAUAUACAUUGGUUGGGAUUGAGGAACUCAGCAUGCCGCAAGGCCGGGUUUUAACCACGUUCGUGCUUAGGAUGCUGGCAUAAUGGCUUUAAUCGACCCGUCUUGAAACACGGACCA